AUACAGGGGGUGCGAGCGUUAAUCGGAAUUACUGGGCGUAAAGAGUACGUAGGCGGUUGCUUAAGUCAGAUGUGAAAGCCCCGGGCUCAACCUGGGAACUGCAUUUGAAACUGAGUGACUAGAGUUUAAGAGAGGGGAGUAGAAUUCCGGGUGUAGCGGUGAAAUGCGUAGAGAUCCGGAGGAAUACCAGUGGCGAAGGCGGCUCCCUGGCUUAAAACUGACGCUGAGGUACGAAAGCGUGGGUAGCGAACAGGAUUAGAUACCCUAGUAGUCC
rnacentral:rRNA from 1 species